rnacentral:rRNA from 1 species
GAUGAACGCUAGCUACAGGCUUAACACAUGCAAGUCGAGGGGGAAACGACAUCGAAAGCUUGCUUUUGAUGGGCGUCGACCGGCGCACGGGUGAGUAACGCGUAUCCAACCUGCCCACCACUUGGGGAUAACCUUGCGAAAGUAAGACUAAUACCCAAUGACGUCUCUAGAAGCAAUCUGAAAGAGAUUAAAGUUUUAUCGGUGAUGGAUGGGGCUGCGUCUGAUUAGCUUGUUGGCGGGGUAACGGCCCACCAAGGCGACGAUCAGUAGGGGUUCUGAGAGGAAGGUCCCCCACAUUGGAACUGAGACACGGUCCAAACUCCUACGGGAGGCAGCAGUGAGGAAUAUUGGUCAAUGGACGAGAGUCUGAACCAGCCAAGUAGCGUGCAGGAUGACGGCCCUAUGGGUUGUAAACUGCUUUUAUAAGGGAAUAAAGUGAGUCUCGUGAGACUUUUUGCAUGUACCUUAUGAAUAAGGACCGGCUAAUUCCGUG